GGGUAUAUAGCUCAGUGGUAGAACUCAUGCUUAGCAUGCAUGAGGUCCUGGGUUUAAUCCCCAGUACCUA
rnacentral:tRNA from 1 species